rnacentral:lncRNA from 1 species
GAUGGACAUUUCUGGGCAGAAAAGAAUGUUCACAAACAAAAUGAAAAGCUAAGGUCCUUGAAUCCUUGGCCUAAUCAUGAGAGAGCUUCCAGGGGUAGCCUUAACAGAGUCCUAACAUGAUUUUUUUCCCUCCCACAGAUUUGAUACUACUAAAAAUCAAAGUUUAAUUGUCUAACUGCCAGAUUACAGCAUCAUUGGAAAUUGCAGCGUGGCCGGUUUUCUCAUAUGAAAGCUAAGCCUUUGAAUCUGGAAGGAGGAACCUCAAACUUAAAAUGGGACACAAAGUUGGACUGAACCUGACAACCUUGAACCCCUGAGUUUUCCCUGACAGUGGAGGGAGCUUGUCUUUCUCUGAGGAGCCUGGAGCAGAGGGAUGAACAAUUAGAGUUGUGUAUUUACAGUUGUUAUCUGUCAGCAGUACUCCAUCCCAACAGUCCUCUGGACAGCCUUGGGUGAGGAAUGGGAUCCAGCAACUGUUGAUCAAAGGAGGAGGCAACCAUGGAGGAGGACGCAGAUGAGACAUUAGCACUGAGAAAAGAACCUGAGGCCUUGUCACGUUUGCAUACUAAAUGGAACCACACAGUGCACAGAACUGUGAACUUGGAGGCAGGUGGCUUAGACUCUAAUUCAGUUUUUUACCUGUUCAUCCCAUGAACUAGAAAAAAACUCUCUUUCAGCUUCCGCAUAUCCACCCAAACAAUAGUGAGUAAUCUCUUCUCUUUAUUGGAUCAAUUUAAGGAUUCACAGAGAAUGUAAACCAUCUUUUGU